rnacentral:misc_RNA from 1 species
GAUGAAGAACGCAGCGAAAUGCGAUAAGUAAUGUGAAUUGCAGAAUUCAGUGAAUCAUCGAAUCUUUGAACGCACCUUGCACCCUUUGGCAUUCCGAAGGGUAUGCUCGUUUGAGUGUCAUUGUACUCUCACACUCCCAAUUGCUUUGGAUUGGGAGCGGUGGACUUGGGUGUUGCUGCUUGACUGAGGCUCACCUGAAAUAUGUUAGUGCACCUCUUGAUUGGACAUAGUACGGCGUGAUAAGUGUCUUCGCCGGCUCCUCGCAAAGAGGGUGGCCGAUCGGGAGCUCUGUUGCUUCAAACUGUCUUCGGACAAUCUUCUAGCGACUUGACCUCAAAUCGAGUAGGACUACCCGCUGAACUUAAGCAUAUCAAUAAGCGGAGGA